CCUACGGGAGGCAGCAGUAGGGAAUAUUGCUCAAUGGGGGAAACCCUGAAGCAGCAACGCCGCGUGGAGGAUGAAGGUUUUCGGAUUGUAAACUCCUUUUGUUAGAGAAGAUAAUGACGGUAUCUAACGAAUAAGCACCGGCUAACUACGUGCCAGCAGCCGCGGUAAUACGGAGGGUGCAAGCGUUACUCGGAAUCACUGGGCGUAAAGAGCGCGUAGGCGGGAUAGCAAGUCAGAUGUGAAAUCCUAUGGCUUAACCAUAGAACUGCAUUUGAAACUGUUAUUCUAGAGUAUGGGAGAGGUAGGUGGAAUUCUUGGUGUAGGGGUAAAAUGCGUAGAGAUCAAGAGGAAUACUCAUUGCGAAGGCGACCUGCUAGAACAUAACUGACGCUGAGGCGCGAAAGCGUGGGGAGCAAACAGGAUUAGAUACCCCUGUAGUC
rnacentral:rRNA from 1 species